rnacentral:rRNA from 12 species
GCAGCCGCAGUGAAUAGGCCCAAGCGACUGUUUAUCAAAAACACAGGUCUCUGCAAAAUCGUAAGAUGAAGUAUAGGGGCUGACGCCUGCCCGGUGCUGGAAGGUUAAGAGGAGUGCUUAGCGCAAGCGAAGGUACGAAUUGAAGCCCCAGUAAACGGCGGCCGUAACAAUAACGGUCCUAAGGUAGCGAAAUUCCUUGUCGGGUAAGUUCCGACCUGCACGAAUGGUGUAAUGAUUUGAGCGCUGUCUUGACGGGAGGCCUGGUGAAAUUGUAUUACCGGUGAAGAUACCGGUUACCUACAGUAGGACGGAAAGACCCCAUGGAGCUUUACUGUAGCUUGGUAUUGGGUUUUGGCAUUGCAUGUAUAGGAUAGUUGGGAAACUAUGAAGGUGUGGCGCUAGCUGCACUGGAGUUGUCGGUGGAAUACCAACCAUUCAAUGUUGAAAUUCUAAUCUGUGGUUUGGAGCCACGGAGACAGUGCUAGGUGGGCAGUUUGACUGGGGCGGUCGCCUCCCAAAUGGUAACGGAGGCGUACAAAGGUUUCCUCAGAUCGGUCAGAAAUCGAUCGUAGAGUGUAAAGGCAUAAGGAAGCUUGACUGUGAGACCUACAAGUCGAGCAGGGACGAAAGUCGGUCUUAGUGAUCUGACGGUACUGAGUGGAAAGGCCGUCACUCAACGGAUAAAAGUUACUCUAGGGAUAACAGGCUGAUCUCCCCCAAGAGUUCACAUCGACGGGGAGGUUUGGCACCUCGAUGUCGGCUCAUCGCAUCCUGGGGCGGUAGUACGUCCCAAGGGUUGGGCUGUUCGCCCAUGAAAGCGGUACGCGAGCUGGGUUCAGAACGUCGUGAGACAGUUCGGUCCAUAUCCGGUGUAGGCGUUAGAAUAUUGAGAGGAGCCUUCUUUAGUACGAGAGGACCGAGAAGGACAUACCUAUGGUGUACCAGUUAUCAUGCCAAUGGUAAACGCUGGGUAGCUAUGUAUGGAGUGGAUAACCGCUGAAAGCAUCUAAGUGGGAAGCCCACCUCGAGAUGAGUAUUCUCAUCACGAAAGUGAGUAAGGUCACGGCAAGACUAGCCGUUCGAUAGGCAUCAAGUGUAAGUAUAGUAAUAUAUGUGCUGAGAUGUUCUAACAGACCGA